AUACGGAGGAUCCGAGCGUUAUCCGGAUUUAUUGGGUUUAAAGGGAGCGUAGGUGGACAGUUAAGUCAGUUGUGAAAGUUUGCGGCUCAACCGUAAAAUUGCAGUUGAUACUGGCUGUCUUGAGUACAGUAGAGGUGGGCGGAAUUCGUGGUGUAGGGGUGAAAUGCUUAGAUAUCACGAAGAACUCCGAUUGCGAAGGCAGCUCACUGGACUGCAACUGACACUGAUGCUCGAAAGUGUGGGUAUCAAACAGGAUUAGAUACCCUGGUAGUCCACACAGUAAACGAUGAAUACUCGCUGUUUGCGAUAUACAGUAAGCGGCCAAGCGAAAGCGUUAAGUAUUCCACCUGGGGAGUACGCCGGCAACGGUGAAACUCAAAUGAAUUGGCGGGA
rnacentral:rRNA from 1 species